rnacentral:rRNA from 1 species
AUUGAACGCUGGCGGCAGGCCUAACACAUGCAAGUCGAACGAGUGGCGGACGGGUGAGUAAUGUCUGGGAAACUGCCCGAUGGAGGGGGAUAACUACUGGAAACGGUAGCUCAUACCGCAUACCAUCGGAUGUGCCCAGAUGGGAUUAGCUAGUAGGUGGGGUAACGGCUCACCUAGGCAACGAGCCCUAGCUGGGCUGAGGGGAUGACAAGCCACACUGGAACUGAGACACGGUCCAGACUCCUACGGGAGGCAGCAGUGGGAAAUAUUGCACAAGGGGCUCAAGCCUGAUGCAGCCAUGCCGCGUGUAUGAAGAAGGCCUUCGGGUUGUAAAGUACUUUCAGCGAGGAGGCGUUACUCGCAGAAGAAGCACCGGCUAACUCCGUGCCAGCAGCCGCGGUAAUAC